rnacentral:misc_RNA from 1 species
GAUGAAGAACGUAGCGAAAUGCGAUAAGUAAUGUGAAUUGCAGAAUUCAGUGAAUCAUCGAAUCUUUGAACGCACCUUGCGCCCUUUGGCCAUUCCGAAGGGCAUGCCUGUUUGAGUAUCAUGAACACCUCAACUCUUUAUGGUUUUCCAUGAUGAGCUUGGACUUUGGGGGUUUUGCUGGCCUAUGGUCGGCUCCUCUAAAAUAAAUCAGCUUACCAGUGUUUGGUGGGUAUCAUGGGUGUGAUAACUAUCUACGCUUGUGGUUUUUCCGCCAGGUAACCUUCGACAGCGGAGGUUCACUGGAGCUCAUAGAUGUCUCUCCUCAGCGAGGACAGCCCUUUGAAUGUUUGAUCUCAAAUCAGGUAGGACUACCCGCUGAACUUAAGCAUAUCAUAAGCGGAGGA